rnacentral:rRNA from 1 species
GAUGAACGCUGGCGGCGUGCCUAAUACAUGCAAGUCGAGCGAACAGAUGAGGAGCUUGUUCCUCUGUCGAUAGCGGCAAACGGGUGAAUCACACGUGUAUAACCUACCUAUAAUACUGGGAUAACUUCGGCAAACCGGCUCUAAUACCGUAUAAUAUAUUGAACCGCAUGGUUCAAUAGUUAGAUACGGCUUUGCUGUCACUUCUAGAGGGAUCCGUGCCGCAUUAGAUAGUUGGGAAGUUAACGGCUUACCAAGGCAACGAUGUGUAGCCGACCUGAGAGACUGAUCGCCCACACUGGAAGUGAGCCGCGGUCCAGACUACUAAGGCAGGGCGCAGUAGGGUAUGUGACGCAACAGGAGAAAGCUUGACGGAACAACGCCGAGCCAGUGACGAAGGCCCUCGGAUCGUAAUACCGUCCUAUUAGGGGAGAACCACUGUGUACUUAACUAUGCCCGGCUUGACGGUAACUAAUAAGAAAGCUACGGCUAACUACGUG